rnacentral:rRNA from 1 species
UACGUAGGGCGCAAGCGUUGUCCGGAAUUAUUGGGCGUAAAGAGCUCGUAGGCGGUUUGUCGCGUCUGUCGUGAAAGCCCACGGCUUAACCGUGGGUCUGCGGUGGAUACGGGCAGACUAGAGGCAGGUAGGGGAGAAUGGAAUUCCCGGUGUAGCGGUGAAAUGCGCAGAUAUCGGGAAGAACACCGGUGGCGAAGGCGGUUCUCUGGGCCUGUACUGACGCUGAGGAGCGAAAGCGUGGGGAGCGAACAGG